AAGCUCAGUCUGCUGGGAAUACAACAGGCGCCUCUCCGCAUCAUUCCUAAUUAAACGCAGGAAGAAGCGCUCCCGUUGCAGAGCGGAGACUGGAGCUGAAUAUGACGCGGAUCUCCCAGAUAAUAGUGUGAUGAAUCAGACGGUGCUAUCGCUGCCAUGAAAGGGUCUGACGGAACAAAGCCCAGCCCUGAGGACCCCCGCUUCCCUGAGUCUUUGUGGCAGUAACUACUGACACAUAGCGACACAGUGUGCGAGCCGCCAUUACACAGGGGGAUCAUCUAUGCGGGACAGCUGAGGAACGCCGCAAAAUAAGGAUUAAAUAAAUAAAAUUACUCAUGAAAACAAUUUCACAACUGAACAACUAAUAUAAACGGGGAAAUAUUUUCAUUGUACCCUCGAUGAACAGCGCAAAAUGCUUUCAGAUCUACCUAGCGUCCAUCAAGGUGCGCAACUCCCCCCACAGAGGCUCCCAAUGUGCGGAGAGGUGGGAGAAACUGUAGGGGAUAC